ACACGUCUUCAGGGCGGGGUGGAAUUCCCCACCGGCGGUAGGCGGCGCAAGCCGCGAGCCCGCGAGCGCCCGUCGCCUCCCGGCGGCGGGGUCAGCAGACCUGGUCGAAUGCCAGGGCCGACGGUCACAGUCCGGAUGAAAGAAGAUGUGC
rnacentral:ncRNA from 1 species